rnacentral:misc_RNA from 1 species
CAACCCUCAAGCACUGCUUGGUAUUGGAUGCUACUAUUGUGGUGCAUCUCAAAAGUAUUAGUAGUGGCAUUUAGCUUCUAGUGUAGUAAGUUUCUUUGCUAUGGAGUUUGAUUGCUGACUGCUAGAACCCCUAAUUUAUUUAAA